UACGGGGGAGCAAGCGUUGUUCGGAUUUACUGGGCGUAAAGGGCGCGUAGGCGGCCAUGCGUGUCUUCCGUGAAAUCCCUCGGCUUAACUGAGGACGUGCGGAAGAAACUGCAAGGCUUGAGUCCGGGAGAGGGGGGUGGAAUUCCCAGUGUAGCGGUGAAAUGCGUAGAGAUCGGGAGGAACAUCAGUGGCGAAGGCGGCGAUCUGGGUAGAUACUGACGCUGAGGUGCGAAAGCGUGGGGAGCAAACAGG
rnacentral:rRNA from 1 species